rnacentral:ribozyme from 12 species
AUGCGGUAAAUUUUCUCGCUCGUCCUGAUUUAAAAAAAAAGAGUUAAUUAAAAGUCACAAAUCGUGCUUUCUCACCAUGGUUCCUUUUUUUUUCUUUCUGUUUUCUACAAAAAACAAAAUAGGUGUAACCGUU